rnacentral:rRNA from 1 species
CCGACGGUGAGGGGUGAAAGCUGGGGGAGCAAACCGGAUUAGAUACCCGGGUAGUCCCAGCUGUAAACUAUGCAAACUCAGUGAUGCAUUGGCUUGUGGCCAAUGCAGUGCUGCAGGGAAGCCGUUAAGUUUGCCGCCUGGGAAGUACGUACGCAAGUAUGAAACUUAAAGGAAUUGGCGGGGGAGCACCACAAGGGGUGAAGCCUGCGGUUCAAUUGGAGUCAACGCCAGAAAUCUUACCCGGAGAGACAGCAGAAUGAAGGUCAAGCUGAAGACUUUACCAGACAAGCUGAGAGGUGGUGCAUGGCCGUCGCCAGCUCGUGCCGUGAGAUGUCCUGUUAAGUCAGGUAACGAGCGAGAUCCCUGCCUCUAGUUGCCACCAUUACUCUCAGGAGUAGUGGGGCGAAUUAGCGGGACCGCCGCAGUUAAUGCGGAGGAAGGAAGGGGCCACGGCAGGUCAGUAUGCCCCGAAACUCUGGGGCCACACGCGGGCUGCAAUGGUAACGACAAUGAGUUUCAAAAUCGAAAGAUGGAGGCAAUCUCUAAACGUUACCACAGUUAUGAUUGAGGGCUGCAACUCGCCCUCAUGAAUAUGGAAUCCCUAGUAACCGCGUGUCAUUAUCGCGCAGUGAAUACGUCCCUGCUCCUUGCACUCACCGCCCGU